GUCUAGUGAAAGUAAAAAGAAGAAAAACAGAGCUAAGCCAAGGAAAUGAUUUCUUUCCCACCUACAAUGCAUGAAAAGAAAUUAACAUGAAAAGGGUCUGAGGAAGACAUUAAUAUUUUGAUAGUGGCAGAAGAAUGUUAUUUACAAAAAUAAUGACAAAUGUUGAAGAGAAAAUACAGGCUUCCUAGCAACUAGACCAAAGAUAAGAUGCUGUUGAAUUCAAGAUAGACAUUUGGAAUAUACAGUUAGCUGUCAUUUGAACACAGGCCCAUGGCACAAGUUCAGAAACGUAAAGUUACAGAGAAAAUAAAGACCCCCAGAGCAAAAUCACCACAGUCUCCAUGGAAAUCAAUUGGUUCAUUCUUCGUCUUAAGAGUCCAGCAUUCACUCAACAAACAUCUUAUGCUGCCAGGUUUCUCUAAUGCAGCAGGUACGGUCACUAGGAAGAUUACAAACUUGGGUUAAAAAACCUAGAUCACGUUCAAGAUGUUGCAGCUGAGCAGUUACAAUCCAAGAGACUAGGCCCAGACAGAAGGAUAUGCCACAGCAGGAGACAGGAUCCAGAAUGAGAAUAGACAAAAGACAUUUUCAAAAGUCCAGGUUCACAGCUUGACAGAAGCCUUCACACAGAAAGAGCCAUUGCACAUUGGACAGAUGAUCCCAGAAUGGAAGUUUCCAGAGGAAAUAACAGUCAAUAAACAGGACCAACUACAUAACAAAAGCAAUAUUGGUUACUUGCUGGUUUUUAGAACAUGAGGUAAGUGGCCCAGAUGUCCUCCUCAACCCAGCAGGCUCUUGGGCCUCUUGUAUAACCUCAACUCACCCUGACAGAUUGGUAAGUUUUCUAGCCUUCAAUCCUCCUGGGAAAACUGUACAUUUCCCAACCUAUCAUCUCAGAGAGGAUCAAAGACCCCUGGUGUCCCAGCAUCUUAGUCCUGGGCACCUCACUGGCACCUCCAGAAUGUUGCAACCACCUGAUACCACCACAUGGAUACUCUAAAAGCCAGAAAAAUGUUUUAUUGCCAGCUGGCAUCUGCACAGGGAACUUUCCCAGAUCUUACAGCCCCAAGUCUUACAGCCCUUUGUCUUUUACGCACAGAACCCAAAUCCUGGUUGUCACACUUCAGUUAGCAAGAAGCUGAGCUACAGAAGCCAAAAAACCAUGUUAGUGCAUUUAAGGUCUUUCCUGGAACUACGGACCAGGCCUUUGAUGGAUUAGGUCUUUGUUCCCAUUUUGGCAGAUGUUGGGGCCUAUGCUCUGGGUUUUAAGGUCAAAAUGGUGCCUCUAGCAUGGAGUCAUUCGUGCUAAGCUCUGGGGACCUGUUUGGGCUUAACAUUUUUAUUAGAAGAAUUUGCACACUGUGUAGACCUGCAAUGGAGAGAGAGAAAGUCGGGAGUUGUAAAUGAGACCUCAAGUGGUUUUUCUUCACAACCUGAUAAUGAGCAGGCAGUGUUGGAAUCCCACUUCCCUGCAGCUGCUUGGGAAACCCAGAUCCCCUUGGUGUGCCUGGUUCCUUUCACCCAAAGGAUAUUGUAACUUUCUAUGUGCUCCCAAGGUCUUCAGGAACUGACUUCUCUAACAGCUGCUAGGAAAGUUAUUAAUGACUGAGUCCCAAAUAGUAAUUGUUCUGCUUCAUGGAAUACUGGGAUGUCGUAAGCCUACCCAGAGAGUAUUCGUUGUUUCAGUGAUGAGAGUUGAUCAGAUUCCUAUAAAGACAAUCUCGAGGUGCCUCUCCUCAGGCUUGGGAUACAGGAUUUUUCAUCUGAUAGCAGGGUUUCUUUUACAUAAAAUGAAGUGUUAAAAAUCUCAUGGCAAAUUAAGGCCCAAUGGGACAUCCUUAAUCGUUAGGAGAAAAGUCAAUAUGUGGUUGCUCAUAUUUUGAGCAAAUGAUAAUUAUGUGUGUGUCACAAAACUCUGUGUUCUAUAGGAUAAAUGGCCAAGCAGAUAAUUCAUUCAAUAUCACUGUUUUUCCUUUCCUGUAUGGCUUUGGGGGGGGGGGGGGGCGCUGUUCCUUAAUCUGCUCCCAUUAUAGCACAUUCCUAACUAAGUUACUCAAAUACCCAGGCCUCUGCCUUUAGAAAAACCUAGGGACGCUCUCUGGAAAAGCCACACUUCCAGGUAUCCACAAGCUUCUGAGAACAACGCUGACAGAACAGGACGUGUGUCUAUAACCUCUCACUAACUUUUGACUUGGACAUUUCUUAAGUGAAACCCAUGCUGUGUCUAUUGUAUGACUUACCAUUUUCCCUCACAAUGUAAUCACAAGACCAUCUUAGCUGUAGUUUCACUUCUGCAGCAAUCAAGCCUCAGUCUUAUUGCUCCCCUAGCACGGUGAUUCUUCUUUUUCUUCAGUCCCCUUGGUUGGAAACCCCAAAGUCCCGCCUCUGUCGUUGCCCAGCCAUUAGCUGCUGGCAGCUUUGUUUACCAACCAGAACCAGCUAAGGUCAGGGACCCUCAGCGCCUCACAUGCAGGAUUCUACUGCAAUUACCAAAUAGCAGGAUUCAAGCAAUAAACCAAAUCCGCAAGAGACCGUAAGAAAAAAGUUCCAAUAAGUCACUUCCUCUUUCCCAAGGCUUAUAACUAAAGCUAUCUAAAUUUCUAGCAAAGUGUAUGAGUCAAAAAGGGGAGAGCCUAGAAGACAUAGCACACCUCUCUCGAAGGCAAUUGGUUUCCAAAGGACUUUUAAUUCCUACAAUUUGUAAGUAAACCAGAAAAAUCAUUACAGGUGCCCUGUUCAUCCCAGAAGCCCUAGAUGCCUAUAAACCACAUAAUGUUAUCUUUUACAUGUCUAACACACUUCACAUAUAUCACACACUUAGCAAACAAGACAAUGUGUAAAGCACACACAGCAAUGUUGAAGCCUGUGAUAAGCUUUGGUGAUAUUUUUGUUUCCUUCUGCCUAUCACCAGAGCAGUUCAUGUUUUCUUUCUCCAGCUCUGAAGAAAAGAACUGGAGGAAAAAAAAAUAGAGCUUUCUAAAUAUGACAAAUGUUCAGAAGUUUGCAAUUCACUUUUGGCAGGGCUGUUGAUGUCAGUGAGCUCCUCCAGAAACCUGUAUUGAUGUCAUUUUAAUAUUUCAAAUGGUUCAUUUGGCAAACAUAAACAGUACCGAUAGAUUUGAUUCUGUGGCCUUUUGCUUGGAUAAUGGAUGUAGAACUUGGUACUAACUGGAUUUUCUUGUUCCUCUGUUUUUAAAAUUCAGGGAGCAUAUGAGGGAAAAAAAUGACAGAUAGAAAAAGAAAGACAGAAAGCUGUUAAGAUCCUUGUCAUGGUAGCAUUUUUAGGAACCAAGAUACCUCUGGGCCCUAAAUUCCUUAGAAGUCUCUUGUCAAGCAAGCCCCUUCCCUCCAGCUUGUCACUCAACAACCAGGAAUCAUCUUCCCCUGACAACAUCUGCCCAAGAGCUAGAUGGAGAACUUAGUUCUACACCUUGGUACCGUAUGGUGCAGAGAUUAAUUUCCUUUUCUGCCUUUCCACUCCAGGAUCCUACACUUUGUUUGCUCACCUCUAGCUGGAUUGUUUACAUUGUUAAAUCCUUGAGGAUGUGUGUGGCAUUUUCUUUGGGGCUUGCAAUUACCCUAGUUCCUUUUAACACUCUGAAAGACAAUCAGUCUUUAAUUUACAAUCUUCUUCUUCUUCUUCUUCUUCUUCUUCUUCUUCUUCUUCUUCUUCUUCUUCUUCUUCUUCUUCUUCUUCUUCCUCUUCCUCUUCCUCUUCCUCUUCCUCCUCCUCCUCCUCUUCUUCCUCCUCCUCCUCUUCUUCCUCCUCCUCCUCUUCCUCUUCCUCUUCCUCCUUCUUCUUUUUAACUUUACUGUGGAGCCAAGGAGAUGUGUCAAUAUUCUUACAAUAUCUUUUCACAGUGGUGGGCAGUAGAUACAGCAGCAGUGAGCUGUAGCUUCCAGUAGGCCACUCAAUCACUGUAAACCUCGAGCAUGCUACCAUGUGCUAUGCUGCUAAGCUAGGCUGUUAGGAUUUAGGCUUGUGAUAUUUCCAAUGUACGAUGGGUUUACUGGGGACAUAACCCCAUCAUAAGUCAAGAAGCAGGAAUCUUGUGGAUUCUCCUUAAACUGUCAUUUUAAAUCUAAGAUAAUAUUUACUGUUUCCAUUUCACAUUCCUUUAUAAUCAAAUUUUCUGUCUGGGGAAAUAUCUUAAGAUUGAAAGGGUAUCUUCAGAAGUUCACUGGUCCUCGUCUCUGACCUGGGAUAAGAAAGGGGAUUGAUUCUCUUUUCUGCUUUGUAAACAGUGAUUUUUGUAAGAACACCAUCUCUAGCUGGGUAGAAAAUGUGGAGUUAUUAUGUAUGUAUGUAUGUAUGUAUGUAUGUAUGUAUGUGUACAUGCAUAUAUUUUUUUAAAGAUGCUCUUUCCAUACUUGAGAGGCUGAGGUGAAAGACUUUUGAACAUGAAGCAGCCCGAGCUCUAUAGAGAAACUCAAGCUUAAAAAUAAACUAAAAUAAUAAUACUGCUAAUAAAUAAUUUAGAAUAUGUUUAGUUCUAAAUGCAAAAUAUUAAGUGAUCAUUGCAGUACAUGGUUAAAAUGAUGCCUCAGCCUUGAAUUGACACUCAAGGAAAUAAUUUUUAGGAGAUCUUUGGAGUAUAAUAUACUUAUAAAAUUAUCCCAUUCUUUCUGAUGGAUACAUAUAUAUGUGUGUGAGUGUGUAUGUAUAUGUAUAUAUGUAUAGAUAUGAAGUUUUGUUAUGUUCAAUUUUUGUGAUAAUUGUUUUUUAUGCUCAUUUUAUACUCUGAGACAUUUACUUUCCAUGAAAGAUGCUAAGAAAAGGAAAUAUGUCUUAGACUUUUGAAACUUUUGGUGUGUGUCAUGGUCUAACAAAUGAUUUAUUUAUUUGCAGCACAGGGGUUGAUCCCAGGAUUCUGUGCCUGCUAAGCAAACAUUCUGUCACAGAGCUACACCUCCCGUUCCAGAUGAAUUACUGGUGUGAUGAAUUUGACUUCAACUUAAUGACACAACUUGUAAUGUUACCAAAAAAAAAAAAAAAAAAAGGAAUAAUUCCACAAGGCAAACAUUCAAACAUAAAUCCACGAAGUUGAACGUCAUCAGCGAUCUGAUUCAUUUUAUGAUUAGAAUAACAUUCCUUAAUAAUUCUUAUAUAACAUGGCUUGAGAUACCCAAAGUACAUAUUUUCUAUCAACACAAAUGCUUCUUCACCAUGUAUCCUAGGAAAAAAAUCACCUAGGGGUGAUUAUUAAAAAAAAAAAAAAAA
rnacentral:lncRNA from 1 species